rnacentral:rRNA from 1 species
GAUUAGUGGCGAACGGGUGAGUAACACGUGGGCAAUCUGCCCUUCACUCUGGGACAAGCCCUGGAAACGGGGUCUAAUACCGGAUACGACCACCGACCGCAUGGUCUGGUGGUGGAAAGCUCCGGCGGUGAAGGAUGAGCCCGCGGCCUAUCAGCUUGUUGGUGGGGUGAUGGCCUACCAAGGCGACGACGGGUAGCCGGCCUGAGAGGGCGACCGGCCACACUGGGACUGAGACACGGCCCAGACUCCUACGGGAGGCAGCAGUGGGGAAUAUUGCACAAUGGGCGAAAGCCUGAUGCAGCGACGCCGCGUGAGGGAUGACGGCCUUCGGGUUGUAAACCUCUUUCAGCAGGGAAGAAGCGAGAGUGACGGUACCUGCAGAAGAAGCGCCGGCUAACUACGUGCCAGCAGCCGCGGUAAUACGUAGGGCGCAAGCGUUGUCCGGAAUUAUUGGGCGUAAAGAGCUCGUAGGCGGCUUGUCACGUCGGAUGUGAAAGCCCGGGGCUUAACCCCGGGUCUGCAUUCGAUACGGGCAGGCUAGAGUUCGGUAGGGGAGAUCGGAAUUCCUGGUGUAGCGGUGAAAUGCGCAGAUAUCAGGAGGAACACCGGUGGCGAAGGCGGAUCUCUGGGCCGAUACUGACGCUGAGGAGCGAAAGCGUGGGGA